rnacentral:rRNA from 1 species
GGAGCUUGCUUUAUAUAACUUAGCAGCGAACGGGUGAGUAACACGUAGAUAAUCUAUCCUAUACUGGGGGAUAGCCCGAUGAAAGUUGGAUUAAUACCGCAUAUAGCUAUAUAGUUGCAUGAUUAUGUAGUGAAAGAUUUAUUGGUAUAGGAGGAGUCUGCGGCACAUUAGCUAGUAGGUGAGGUAAAGGCUUACCUAGGCGACGAUGUGUAGCCGGUCUGAGAGGAUGAACGGCCACAAUGGAACUGAGACACGGUCCAUACUCCUACGGGAGGCAGCAGUGGGGAAUAUUGCACAAUGGGGGAAACCCUGAUGCAGCAACGCCGCGUGAGUGAAGAAGGUUUUCGGAUUGUAAAGCUCUGUUAGCAGGGAAGAGGAAGGACGGUACCUGCAGAGGAAGCCACGGCUAACUACGUGCCAGCAGCCGCGGUAAUACGUAGGUGGCAAGCGUUGUUCGGAAUAACUGGGCGUAAAGGAUGCGUAGGCGGUUAAACAAGUUAUAUGUUAAAUAUAUAGGCUUAACCUGUAGAAAGCAUAUAAAACUGUUUAACUAGAGUGCAGGAGAGGUAAGUGGAAUUCCUAGUGUAGCGGUGAAAUGCGUAGAGAUUAGGAAGAACACCAGUGGCGAAGGCGACUUACUGGACUGUAACUGACGCUGAGGCAUGAGAGCAUGGGGAGCAAACAGGAUUAGAUACCCUGGUAGUCCAUGCUGUAAACGAUGGGUACUAGGUGUGGGUUGUGAAUAACAAUUCGUGCCGUCGCAAACGCAAUAAGUACCC